UUACCCGGGUUCAGUCUUUCCCUCGGUGCCCCGCCCACCCCUGCCCUUGAGAAACCCUCCCCCACGCUCUCGACCUGUCCCCCAGCCUCCAAUCUGCCCGUUUUGACAGCAGUGACCCUAAGCAUCAGCCUUUCCUUGCGGCGACUCAUCAGUUUCUUCGUCAGGCUCCUCCAUCCGUGGCAGCACAUCCCCCACAUUGGCUCUCCGCCCCUGGCGUCACUUGGUUGUGCAGCUCGGACUGUGUUGCUUAGCAACGAAAUAACAAACAAGCCUUACUGGAAUUCUGUAAUAACAGCCAAAAUAUCGCCAGCCCCGAGCUUCCAGUUCAAGGCAUCAUUACUCCUCUUGUGAUGAGUUUUGUGAACAUCCUUCACCUCAUGUACAUAGAACAAAAAGAAGAGGGAAAAAAUGUCUCCUGUGGGGAGAACUCUGAAGAUCUACCCUCCUAUCUUUCCUGCAUACCCGAGGCCAGGGUGAGCUGAAGACCUCAGGUUAUACAUGACAUCCCUAGCACUUGUUUCUCUGAAAACUAGAAGGUCAUGCCUUCAAUCCCCUCUCCUCUCACCCACCCUCAGAUCUUUUUAGCUGUAUUGUAAA